rnacentral:lncRNA from 1 species
AUUGGUUCUCUUGAGGUUAAUAGGGAAUUAGACAGAGGAUGGAGUCGCAUUGCAGACUUGUUGUGUAAUUUCCCUGCCUGCUUUUACAAUUGAAGUGGAUGGAGAUUUGCUUUAGCUGGAAGCCCAUUUUCACAAACACAAAGAAAAGAACUAAGAAAUAAUGCUCAGCUUUCAGGACAGGCAGGACCCAGCAGGGCCAAAGAGAGUUGAAGCAAAAGAUUUGUGGGUGGGAAACUGUCAAAUAGGCAACUACUGACAAAUAUUUGUCAGGCUGGUUUUGGUUGAUUCUAAAGCAACAAAUGUUCUGAAGGACAGGGAAAAAAAAAAAAAAAAGUAAAACAAAUACCAGCACGAGAAUUAAGGCUUAUUUGCCAGAGAUUAAUGACUUUUAUUACUGAUCACACAUAUGAAAAUUUGACCUUUGGCAAGGAGAUGUAAUUAGACACUGCACACUGUGGGCAGAGUGGCUUUCCCCCGAAGGACAGUGAGAGAAGCAGCAGGGGCUGAGGUGCUCUGGGGUUAUAACGCAGAGAGCAGCACAUUCUGGGCAUAUGUCACCUGUGUAGCAAAUAAUGCCCAUUGUCCUUGGGAGGAGAAGAGGGUGCACACACUCUGUGCAGCUCAGGAACCUUGCCAGGUGAGAUCCACUGGAUAAAUACCUCUGAUAACUGUUCAGCUGCCUUGUGUUCCUCGUUGUUGCAGGGCCCACGCUGUGCAGAGCACUUGCCCCUGUGGCCAGAGGACAGCCUGUGCCCAAGCCACCCAGCUGGGCAGGGGAGAGCCCUACUUCCAGACCCUUUGCAUGAGCUAUUCCUGUCCUGACUUCUCCAGAGAAGAAGCAUUUCCUAAGGCUGUGGUUUGUGCUGUACCUGAUCUGUAGAUUAAUGGAGUUCAGCAAUCUCAGCUGUUAAUCUCCCGCUUUUCAGGAACAUGAUAUGUAUACUUAUUUACACUUGCAUUGCUACUCAUGAGUGUAUAAGCAACUGUGAAGGGAACAAAAAUAAAAAUAAAAAAUGAGACUUGUGGGAACUCUGA